rnacentral:rRNA from 1 species
AGUAACGCGUAAGAACUUGCCUCACAGUUAGGGACAACAUUUGGAAACGAAUGCUAAUACCUAAUAUUAUGAUAAUAGGGCAUCCUAUAAUUAUGAAAGCUAUAAGCGCUGUGAGAGAGCUUUGCGUCCCAUUAGCUAGUUGGAGAGGUAACGGCUCACCAAGGCGAUGAUGGGUAGCCGGCCUGAGAGGGUGAUCGGCCACAAGGGGACUGAGACACGGCCCUU